GUGAGGAAUAUUGCGCAAUGGAGGCAACUCUGACGCAGCCAUGCCGCGUGCAGGAAGAAGGCGCUACGCGUUGUAAACUGCUUUUAACCGGGAAGAAACCCCAGGACGUGUCCUGGGUUGACGGUACCGGAGGAAUAAGCACCGGCUAACUUCGUGCCAGCAGCCGCGGUAAUACGAAGGGUGCAAGCGUUAUCCGGAUUCAUUGGGUUUAAAGGGUGCGUAGGCGGAGCGUUAAGUCAGUGGUGAAAUCCUGCAGCUUAACUGUAGACUUGGCAUUGAUACUGGCGCACUUGAGUGCGCUUGAAGUGGGCGGAAUGUGCCGUGUAGCGGUGAAAUGCUUAGAUAUGGCACAGAACACCAAUUGCGAAGGCAGCUCACUAAGGCGAUACUGACGCUGAGGCACGAAAGCGUGGGGAUCGAACAGGAUUAGAUACCCGUGUAGUCC
rnacentral:rRNA from 1 species